rnacentral:rRNA from 1 species
UACGGAAGGGGCGAGCGUUGUUCGGAAUUACUGGGCGUAAAGGGCGCGCAGGCGGCUCAGACAGUCAGAUGUGAAAGCCCCGGGCUUAACCUGGGAACUGCAUUUGAUACUACUGAGCUUGAGUACGGAGAGGAUAGUGGAAUUCCCAGUGUAGAGGUGAAAUUCGUAGAUAUUGGGAAGAACACCGGUGGCGAAGGCGGCUAUCUGGGACCGUAACUGACGCUGAGGCGCGAAAGCGUGGGAGCAAACAGG